rnacentral:rRNA from 1 species
AGAGUUUGAUCCUGGCUCAGGAUAAACGCUGGCGGUGUACAUAAGACAUGCAAGUCGAACGGGAGAAGACAGGAAGAUUUAUCUACUUGUUGGACACCGUGGCGGACGGGUGAGUAACACGUAAGCAACCUGCCUAUAAGAGGGGAAUAACAGUGAGAAAUUACUGAUAAUACCGCAUAAGCUGAAGGUAUCGCAUGAUACAUUCAGAAAAGAUUUAUCGCUUAUAGAUGGGCUUGCGUCUGAUUAGCUAGUUGGUGAGAUAACAGCUCACCAAGGCGACGAUCAGUAGCCGGAUUGAGAGGUUGAACGGCCACAUUGGGACUGAGACACGGCCCAGACUCCUACGGGAGGCAGCAGUCGGGAAUAUUGCACAAUGGAGGAAACUCUGAUGCAGUGACACCGCGUAUAGGAAGAAGGUCUUAGGAUUGUAAGCUAUUGUCGUGUGAGAAGAAAAUGACCAUCACAGGAGGAAGCCCUGGCUAAAUAUGUGCCAGCAGCCGCGGUAAUACAUAUGGGGCGAGCGUUAUCCGGAUUUAUUGGGUGUAAAGGGUGCGUAGGCGGGAAAAUAAGUCAGUAUGUGAAAUCCCUCGGCUCAACUGAGGAACUGCAACUGAAACUAUUUUUCUUGAGUGUUGAAGGGGAAAGUGGAAUUCCUAGUGUAGCGGUGAAAUGCGUAGAGAUUAGGAGGAACACCAGUGGCGAAGGCGGCUUUUUGGCCUGUAACUGACACUGAGGCGCGAAAGCGUGGGGAGCAAACAGGAUUAGAUACCCUGGUAGUCCACGC